AUGAAGAUAGGGAAGGCUCCUGAGCUCCUGAAGAAGGCCGUAGCGAUGUGCAAGAGCAAGACCACCAGGCUCCUCAUCCUCGCCUCGCUCCAGCGCCGCAGGAUGUCCAUGGGCGUUGUGGUCUCUCGCAAGAUCGACGCGCUCAUUGUGGCCGACUGGGAGAGAGCGGACCGCCACAAGGCUCUCGCGCUACAAACGGUGGAGAAGAGACCGGUAAUCAUCCAGGAGAGUGACUUGGAGGCCAAUUUCUCUCGUCACUUGGCGAUGUUCGGUCAAGAGAAUGGUCAUGGUGGCUGCCCAGCUAACCGAACACUGCAUCCCCUAUUCAACAACAACCACGCCAACUACCAUUACACUGAAGAUGAUGAUGUGCUACUUGAUUCAUGCGAUCAAGAUGAUGAUGAUGAGCUGUCAGUCAUGGAUCUGAUCAUGAGCAAUGGAGAAGUUGAGGGGAUGGAGUUCAACAUGGAGGAGGACAUUGAUCAAGCUGCUGAUAUGUUCAUUAGGAGGUUCCGACAGCGGCUGAAUGAGGGAUUUUAG
rnacentral:rRNA from 1 species